GGGCUCACACAAGCGGUGGAGCAUGUGGCUUAAUUCGAAGCAACGCGAAGAACCUUACCUGGGUUUGACAUGUACGGAUGCCCUCGUGGAAACAUGAGUAAGCUGCCUUCGGGUGAAACGUACACAGGUGCUGCAUGGCUGUCGUCAGCUCGUGCCGUGAGGUGUUGGGUUAAGUCCCGUAACGAGCGAAACCCCUAUCGUUAGUUGCCAGCGCGUAAUGGCGGGCACUCUAGCGAGACUGCCGGCGUCAAGCCGGAGGAAGGCGGGGAUGACGUCAAGUCAUCAUGGCCUUUAUGUCCAGGGAUGCACACGUGCUACAAUGCAGCGUACAGAGCGAAGCAAGACCGCGAGGUGGAGCAAAUCGCAAAAAACGCUGCCCAGUUCGGAUUGAAGUCUGCAAUUCGACUUCAUGAAGUUGGAAUCGCUAGUAAUCGCGUAUCAGCUACGACGCGGUGAAUGUGUUCCUGAGCCUU
rnacentral:rRNA from 1 species